rnacentral:rRNA from 1 species
AGAGUUUGAUCCUGGCUCAGAACGAACGCUGGCGGUAUGCUUUACACAUGCAAGUCGAACGAGUAAGAGCCGUAGCAAUACGGAAUUCUGCUAGUGGCAAACGGGUGAGUAACGCGUGGGAACCUACCUUGNUAGUACGGAAUAGCCGUUGGAAACGACGAUUAAUACCGUAUACGCUCUUCGGAGGAAAGAUUUAUCGCUAUAAGAUGGGCCCGCGUUAGAUUAGCUAGUUGGUGAGGUAAUGGCUCACCAAGGCGACGAUCUAUAGCUGGUUUGAGAGGAUGAUCAGCCACACUGGAACUGAGACACGGUCCAGACUUCUACGGGAGGCAGCAGUGGGGAAUAUUGGACAAUGGGCGAAAGCCUGAUCCAGCAAUACCGCGUGAGUGAUGAAGGCCUUAGGGUUGUAAAACUCUUUCAGUAGGGAAGAUAAUGACGGUACCUACAGAAGAAGCACCGGCUAACUCCGUGCCAGCAGCCGCGGUAAUACGGAGGGUGCUAGCGUUGUUCGGAAUUACUGGGCGUAAAGAGUGCGUAGGCGGUUUAGUAAGUUGGGAGUGAAAUCCCGGGGGCUCAACCUCNGAAUUGCUCUCAAAACUGCUAAGCUANANUAUGGUAGGGGCUAGUGGAAUUCCUAGUGUAGGAGUGAAAUCCGUAGAUAUUANGAGGAACACNGA